rnacentral:rRNA from 1 species
UAGAGUUUGAUCCUGGCUCAGAUUGAACGCUGGCGGCAGGCCUAACACAUGCAAGUCGAGCGGUAGCACAGAGAGCUUGCUCUCGGGUGACGAGCGGCGGACGGGUGAGUAAUGUCUGGGAAACUGCCUGAUGGAGGGGGAUAACUACUGGAAACGGUAGCUAAUACCGCAUAACGUCGCAAGACCAAAGUGGGGGACCUUCGGGCCUCAUGCCAUCAGAUGUGCCCAGAUGGGAUUAGCUAGUAGGUGGGGUAACGGCUCACCUAGGCGACGAUCCCUAGCUGGUCUGAGAGGAUGACCAGCCACACUGGAACUGAGACACGGUCCAGACUCCUACGGGAGGCAGCAGUGGGGAAUAUUGCACAAUGGGCGCAAGCCUGAUGCAGCCAUGCCGCGUGUGUGAAGAAGGCCUUCGGGUUGUAAAGCACUUUCAGCGGGGAGGAAGGCGAUAAGGUUAAUAACCUUGUCGAUUGACGUUACCCGCAGAA